rnacentral:rRNA from 1 species
CCUACGGGAGGCAGCAGUGGGGAAUAUUGCACAAUGGGGGAAACCCUGAUGCAGCGACGCCGCGUGAGUGAAGAAGUAUUUCGGUAUGUAAAGCUCUAUCAGCAGGGAAGAAAAUGACGGUACCUGACUAAGAAGCCCCGGCUAACUACGUGCCAGCAGCCGCGGUAAUACGUAGGGGGCAAGCGUUAUCCGGAUUUACUGGGUGUAAAGGGAGCGUAGACGGCAGAGCAAGUCUGAAGUGAAAGCCCGCGGCCCAACUGCGGGACUGCUUUUGAAACUGUUGGUCGUGAGUAUCGGAGAGGCAGGCGGAAUUCCUAGUGUAGCGGUGAAAGGCGUAGAGAUUAGGAGGAACACCAGUGGCGAAGGCGGCCUGCUGGACGACAACUGACGGUGAGGCGCGAAAGCGUGGGGAGCAAACAGGAUUAGAUACCCCAGUAGUC